rnacentral:rRNA from 1 species
AUGGUUGUCGUCAGCUCGUGUCGUGAGAUGUUGGGUUAAGUCCCGCAACGAGCGCAACCCUUGUGUUUAGUUUGCAAACAAGGUCAAGCUGUGCACUCUAGACAGACUGCCGUGGACAACACGGAGGAAGGUGGGGAUGACGUCAAAUCAUCAUGCCCCUUAUGAUCUGGGCUACACACGUGCUACAAUGGCCGGUACAACGGGCAGCGAAGGAGCGAUCCGGAGCGAAUCCUAAAAAGCCGGUCCCAGUUCGGAUUGCAGGCUGAAACUCGCCUACAUGAAGUUGGAGUUGCUAGUAAUCGCGAAUCAGAAUGUCGCGGUGAAUGCGUUCCCGGGUCUU